CAACUUCUCUGGAGUAAGACAGCUGAACUUGAGUUGUACCACACAGAGGGGGUCACAACAAUAAUCUGAGAAUUGACAUGAGGAAGUGGUUUCUGUGGUGCACCAGAUUCUGGCAGAAAAAGAUCACCAUCCUCACCUCUACAUAAGCAGUAGUGUCAGAUUGGGCGUGGGGUGAUCUUUGAUCCUUCGACAGCGUUGGCUGCAGUGUUAUCGUGAGGAGGCCUGAGAGGCUCUGAGAGGCACACAACGGAAGCGAAGAAACCCCACAGAAGGGCCUGUGGUGCACUGCGGUGAAAACAGGCACGGUAAAGUGGCUUCAGCUGUGGAAAAGAACUCUUUGGAAACCACCCAGUGUCUCUAUCCAGACCUGGUCGUGCUACUGGCAUCGAAACAGAGGAAGUAAACACACAAGUACCGUAUAUAACUUUGUGAUAUACUGUUCUACUAAAAGGACAGUGGAAAGUGUAUAAUAUUUAAGUGUGUUUUUAAAUGAAAGAAAUGGAAAUCUGUCAUAAUAAAACUCAAACAAUUCAUAAAAAAUGUCUAUGUGAAUGUUUUCAGUAAAAUGAAGCUUUGCUCACUCUCUACACUGACAUGCUUUUUCCAUCAUAUAUCAGUGCUAAGUAGUGCAGCACAUUGUGGCAUGAAGGACACCAAUGUCGUAAA